AUGGCCAUGGAGACCGGCACGGCAGCGGCCGUUCAGUCCACACGCCGGCUUCUCCUCCCACUGGCAGUCUCUUUCCUCCUCUGCGCGCUCGCCGUCGGGACGAAGCCGCCGCCGCCGUCCUCGUCGUACAUCGUGUACCUCGGCGCCCACUCCCAUCGCGCCGGCGUCUCGACGGAGGAGGCGUCCACGUUGGCCACCGAGUCGCACUACGACCUCCUCGGCUCCGUCUUGGGCGACCGGGAGAAGGCGCGCGACGCCAUCUUCUACUCCUACACCAAGAACAUCAACGGCUUCGCCGCCAAGCUCGAGCCCGCCGUCGCCGCAGCGAUCGCCAAGCGGCCCGGCGUGGUGUCGGUGUUCCCGAACCGCGGCAUGAGGAUGCAGACGACGAGGUCGUGGGAGUUCAUGGGGCUCGAGAAGGCCGGCGUUGUCCCGCAGUGGUCGGCGUGGGAGGUGGCCAGGUACGGCAGGGACACCAUCAUCGGGAACCUCGACUCAGGCGUGUGGCCGGAGUCCCUGAGCUUCAACGACGGCCAAAUGGGGCCCAUCCCGGAUACCUGGAAGGGGAUCUGCCAGAACCAGCACGACCCCAAGUUCAAAUGCAACAGCAAGCUCAUCGGCGCGCGCUACUUCAACAAGGGGUACGCGAUGGAGGCGGGCCACCCGCCCCCCGAUAGGCUGAACACGCCGCGGGACGAUGUCGGCCACGGCACGCACACGCUGGCCACGGCGGGCGGCUCCCAGGUCAAGGGCGCCGCCGCCUACGGCUACGGCAACGGCACGGCAAGGGGCGGUUCCCCGCGCGCGCGCGUGGCGGCGUACCGCGUCUGCUUCAACCCGCCCGUGAACGACGUCGAGUGUUUCGACGCCGACAUCCUGGCCGCCUUCGAGGCCGCCAUCGCCGACGGGGUGCACGUCAUCACGGCGUCCGUGGGCGGCGAGCAGAGGGACUUCUUCGAGGACACGGUCGCCAUCGGGUCGCUCCACGCCACCAAGGCCGGCAUCACUGUCGUCUGCUCCGCCACCAACAACGGCCCGGACUUCGGCACCGUCAGCAACCUCGCGCCGUGGGUGAUCACCGUCGCCGCCAGCACCACCGACAGGGCCUUCCCUGGCUACCUCAUCUUCAACCGCACCAGGGUGGAAGGGCAGAGCCUGUCGGAGACGUCGCUCCGGGGGAAAGGCUUCUACCCUUUGAUCAUCGCCACCGACGCCAUCGCCCGCGGCAGGACGGUCGAGGACGCUCAGGUGUGCAUGCUGGAUUCCCUGGACGCGGCCAAGGUGACGGGAAAGAUCGUGGUGUGCUGCGUGAGAGGAGGCGUCCGCAGGAUGGAGAAGGGCGAGGCCGUGCGCCGAGCCGGAGGGGUCGGGAUGGUCCUCGUCAACGACGAGGAAGGCGGGAGCAACGUCAUCGCCGACGCGCACGUUCUCCCGGCCCUGCACAUCAACUACACCGACGGGCUCGCGCUCAUGGCGUACAUCAAGUCCACCCCGUCUCCUCCUUCCGGAUUCAUCUCGAAGGCGACGACGAUCGUCGGCGCGAGGCCGGCGCCGGUCAUGGCCUCCUUCUCGUCGGUGGGGCCCAACGUCCUCAACCCGGAGAUCCUAAAGCCGGACGUCACCGCGCCGGGAGUGACCAUCAUCGCGCCGUGGAGCGGCAUGGCGUCGCCCUCGGACCGGCCCUGGGACCAGCGCCGCGUCGACUUCACCAUCCAGUCCGGCACGUCCAUGUCGUGCCCGCACGUCGCCGGCAUCGCCGGCCUCGUCAAGACCCUCCACCCCGACUGGAGCCCCGCCGCCAUCAAGUCGGCCAUCAUGACCACCGCGACGGACCUGGACCUGGAGCAGCGGCCAAUCCUGAAUCCCUUCCUGCAGCCGGCGACGCCCUUCAGCUAUGGCUCCGGCCACGUCUUCCCGGCCCGCGCGCUGGACCCGGGCCUCGUCUACGACGCCUCGUACCGCGACUACCUCAACUUCUUCUGCGCGCUCGGGUACAACGUGACGGCAAUGGGCAGGUUCAACGAGACGCGCUACGCGUGCCCGGCCGUCCCCGUCGCCGUGCGGGACCUCAACUACCCGUCCAUCACGCUGCCGGACCUCGCCGGCCUGACGACGGUGCGGCGCAGGGUCAGGAACGUGGGCGCGCCGAGGAGCACGUACACGGCCGCCGUCGUCAGAGAGCCGGAAGGGGUGCAGGUGACGGUGACGCCGACCACGCUGGCAUUCGGCGCCGUCGGCGAGGAGAAGGAGUUCCAGGUGAGCUUCGUGGCGAGGGUCCCCUUCGUGCCGGCGCCCAAGGGCGCCGGAGGGUACGGGUUCGGCGCCAUUGUCUGGUCCGACGGGCCAGGGAACCACCGGGUGCGGACUCCUCUGGCUAUCAGGAGGCGCAAGAUGUAG
rnacentral:rRNA from 1 species